CUCCUGCCCGGUGCUGGAAGGUUAAGGGGACCUGUUAGCUUCGGCGAAGCGGAGCACUUAAGCCCCAGUAAACGGCGGUGGUAACUAUAACCAUCCUAAGGUAGCGAAAUUCCUUGUCGGGUAAGUUCCGACCUGCACGAAUGGAGUAACGACUUCCCCGCUGUCUCAACCAUGAACUCGGCGAAAUUGCAUUACGAGUAAAGAUGCUCGUUACGCGCAGAAGGACGGAAAGACCCCGUGACCUUUACUAUAGUUUGGUAUUGGUGUUCGGUGUGGCUUGUGUAGGAUAGGUGGGAGACUGUGAAGCGGGCACGCCAGUGUUCGUGGAGUCAUCGUUGA
rnacentral:rRNA from 1 species